CGCGGCCCCGGGGCGCUUCCCUGCCCGGCAGCUGCGGGGUGCGGGGAGACCCCCCGCCCCCGGUGUCUUCCGCACACCUUAAAGUAAUAGCGCGGCGCACUGGGCUUCGGUGCGCCUUGGAAACGUGAGACAGACACGACGUUAUGGCUGAACCUUGGAUGUUUAGGAUCUCGUACACUUUUCAGCUGUCCUACAUGAAGAGUGAUCUGUAACAACUUGGAAUUAACGACUGAAACAACCUUGGCUCAUGUUGAAAGUCUGAAAUACCAUGACACACUUUCUUCUUACACUGAUUAUUUCAGUAUUAAUUACAAUGUCACUCACCUAUUGUUGAACAAUGUUGUCACAGGACUUUUCAGAUUAGAAACUGUGUACUUCGCAUCUCCCAGUUGAAUACUGUUGCUGGAGAUAGCUGAUAAAAAGAAAUUCUUAAAAAGAAUAAAAAAUAAAAAUAAAAAUCUUGGUGCCUUGAC
ensembl:lncRNA